rnacentral:ncRNA from 2 species
AACAACCCACGCGGGAGUGCACACCGAGUGCGCUGAGAGGACGGCUGAGGGCCGUCGACCGUAUGAACCUGUCCGGGUAAUGCCGGCGUAGGGAGUGUGAACUGAUGACCG